rnacentral:siRNA from 1 species
GGGCUAAUCCGUCAGCUGUCCAGU